ensembl:rRNA 5S_rRNA 5S ribosomal RNA
AUUGACAGCCACACCCCUGGCCCUGCACAGUCUCGUUUGUUCUCAGAAGCUAAGCAGGGUCUGGCCUGUUUAGUGCUUGGAUGGGAGAUUCAGAGAGAAGUCUGUCGUUAAUC